AAUUCAAAAAUCAUCAUUCAGUUCAGAAUUCAGAUUGAAAUUCAAGAUUCAAAUUUAGAAUUAAAAUCUUGAAUUCACAAUUAUGAAUGCAAUUUGAAAUUCACGAUUCAUAAUGUACAUAUUAAUAAACUAAGAUUUACAUGUGGGAUGCCAUAACGACCGAUUUGAACGAGUAAUUACUCGAAGCAUCUAUAAGCCAUUAGGACGCCCCUCGGCGAUAAGUCAAAACUUAUGUAAGACCCUUCACACACACCGACACGCAGUUGUCAUUCAUCGUCGCGUCGGAAUCCAUCGCGGGUCGGCAUCAACCAAUGUCAUCGUGGUGCAGAGCGAACGGGAAACCCUUAGGCGCCGUGUCUGUAAAACGUCGGGUUCCGUUUCCGGUUCUAUUUCUGCGGGGAAAUACUCUUCGUUUCGAGUUUUACAGUGUCCUGGAGAUUCAGGUAACAAACGCGUCUUUCGUGCGAACAACCUCGCGGGCCAAACCAGUGUGCAUAAUGAUGCUAAGAUACUCCGCUCGAAUGUACGUUUGAUUGUAACAUUCAUUAUUGUGUAACAUCCGGAUGAUUCCCACAGGAAAUUACAUUCUAAGCCGCACAUAACGGACGUAAUUUUACGCUGACAACGGUGGACAGUCUUCCGGUAAUUGUUCCGGAUAAGUGAAUUCAAAUUUUGUGACAUGUUCGUUCAACAACACAAAGGAGGAAAACGAGACUCAUUAGACGGACGGCAAGGGUGUCAGCUGUCUUGGAUCGCUACGUGUUGCUUGUGUCCGAUGAUGACCAAAUCGCUGGCAGCCUCCAUUUAUUUCACUUCGAAUUGGCGCUGAAAGUUGUCUACAUUUUAUUCUUGUAAAUAACGGUGAAAUAGAUACAAAAAGAAAAGUACCAGUGCGUGGAAAGUCGAUUGUUGGUGCCUUAACUAUUGUUGGUGCCUUAACUAUUGUUGGUGCCUUAACUAUUGUUGGUGCGUAUAAGAUUUUGAAAAAAAAAUCGUUGAAAAAAUAAACCAUUUGAAAAUGUCGUCUGCCGGAAAAUAUGUUCGGGCCCCUAAAUCCAACAGCGAUCCCGAAGAAUACGGCGAAAUGUAUGGCGAGUGGUCGUCAGAUGACAUGGAGUUUGAAGAACGUGAAAUUCCAAUAAACGAGAAACGUGAAUAUAAAAAAAGUGAAAACCAGGAAUACAUCCAGAAGAUAGAAAAACUGCAGAAUACUAUAGAUAAAUUAGUUAAAGAGAUGAACACUUAUCGCUCUCGUGAAGAUGACGAGUCGGUCAGAAGUUCUGCGCUUUCUGAUGAAGAUCUAAGCUGGAACAAUGCGAAGGUCAAUCCAGGUUCAUCAGCAAACUCUGGUAGUAUUCGAUGGGAAAAUAUAAAACCUUUCCCAAACGAUGUUCCGGCAAACGCUAUGUGGGAACAAUGGAACAGGUUUAUCGAUCGGUUUGAGAUCGCUACUUCCUUGGCAAAUGUGACGGACCCUGUCAAGCGCGCUCAGACAUUGUUCCUUUCGAUGGGAGAGAAACUCCAAGGAAUUACCAGGGCUGCGAGACUUCGCCCAAGUCUGACCGAACCAAACUGCUACAACCUAUUUGUCAAAAACAUCGAAAAAUAUCUGCAAUCAAUGGUCGACGUAACGGCGGAACAUGAAAUGUUUUCCAAUCUCCAACAAGGCAUUGAUGAACCAACUAUUGCCUUCCAUGCACGUCUUUUGGAAAAAGUGCGUCUCUGUCGUUAUAGUCAAACGGAUCAGGAUCGAUUCAUUCGAAUGCAACUACUUAAAGGAAUGCGUAACCGUGAGGUGGCAAAGGCGGCGAGAAUUUUUGGCUAUGAGACGACUUUUAUUGUACAGUCUGCGACUCGAGAAGAGGCAUACAUUCCGAAACCGUCACGAGUAGCUGAAUCCAGCAGAGCAUUCGUGGUGUCGCGAGAACGGAAUCGGUUCAGUGGAAAUAAACACCUGCCAAAACGCCGAUAUAAUGAUGCGGGCUGGAAUUACCCGGAAAGGUAUCGACAAGAAAGCGAGAACCAUUUUUCCGGAGAAGGAAAACGUUUUCGCUGCAAUAGGUGUAACCGUUUGUUCCACAAAUCUGGAACUUGUCCGGCAACUAAUGAGGAGUGUCGUACUUGUGGAAAUCCUGGACAUUACGCGGCAACGUGCAGGGAAAGAAAUGCCACGUACAUUCAGAAAAGGCAAAGCUCCAUUAAGGAAAGAUCGGGUGAAAAAGAUAAGCAUAGGUUCAUCGGAGCCAAUUUGUUUCCUACACGCAAAAGAAUUUAGAAAUUAAUUUGUGUGUUCUGUAGAAAAUACUUUACUUCCCUAUAACUCAUUAAUUUCACGUAAAAUCAAAGUGAACGCACACACCCAUAUUUUUAUUUUUUUUAAAGCGUGCGCUCACGCACACAAAUAAACAUUCGAUCCUUUCGUGGAAUAAAAUCAUUCAGUGCUAAAAAUUUUAUUUGUCGCCGUUCUUUCUUCCGCGACAGCAAGUGCUGUUCGUCUCCGGAUUGAAGAAAUCAUUCAAAGCGGGACUCAAAGUGAAACAGCAGAAGCACGAAUAUUUCCACCGUGGGAAUUCCUGUGUUUCCUGCCUUCCGUAUUAAACAUCCAGAGGACCAUUCGACGAAUGGAGAAUCACACCACUCGAAUCAAUCGACAGGUGCCAUCUCGGCUGAGCUGGAAACCUAGUUCAGUAGCAACAGCUGCUGUUUCAGCAGAAGUUGAAAAUUCAUCAGUGUCACUUCUCUGCAAUACACUCAGCAGCAGCAACCACAAAAGCAAAAAAAAAGAUACAUCCGCAACAAUGGAAUACGCAGCCAAAUUACCCUCGUCUUACCACAGUCAGCUAGAGAUAGUUCCGGAAGGAGAGAUAUCACAGCUGUCCGGCAGGAAUCGGCUUCCGUCGCUGUCCGCAGGUUGAACAAAUUAUCACCAUCCCCGUUCCUAGAUUCAAUAUUCAGUAUAUGACAAGUGGCAAUGUUGCUGAAAAUCUGCUGCGAUAAAACGAUGGCUACGACACCUAUUAGACGGAGUCCAACCUUUGAUUCCAUCGGAAAAUAUAGCAAGGUCGAAGACUGGAUUCGAGGAAGGUAUGAUGCUUAAGUUGCUUAUCUGCUAAACCAUUCGUCGUCCUGAGUAGCAACGGAUACUUCGGUACUCAAGUUUUCGUACAUCAUAAUCUACAUCGUUCGUACUAUGUGUUGUGGAUAAGCCUGUCAUCGAACACGUCAUCGACAAGCUGUUCAAUCUCACUGAAAGUCGGCGAGGGUGUCAGCUGUCUUGAAUCGCUACGUGUUGCCUGUGUCCGAUGAUGACCAAAUCGCUGGCAGCUUCCAUUUAUUUCAUUUCGAGUUGACGCUGAAAGUUGUCUACAUUCUAUUCCGGUGAAAUAGAUUCAAAAAGAAAAGUGUCAGUGCGUGGAAAGUCGAUUGUUGGUGCCUUAACGAUUGUUGCUGCGUAUAAGGUUUAUGUACAACAUGAACACUUUACGUGGUUAUUUGAAAAAGUCAGUAUCUGAAGCCAAGCCGUCUUUUGAAAAAAUCGACGACAAUAAAACUCAGAUUGGGCUGGAAAACGAUCAAAAGAAACAGGAUGUAAACAAACGUAAGAAACGUCGUAGUUGAGCUGCCUAUAGCUCUCUGGAUGACAGCAAAACAUUAAACCAAGAUUCGAAAACAACGGAUUGCAUUAUAUAUCUAAAAUUUAUAUGAUUUGAAGUAAUAGGCAUCUCUUAAAAAAAUUAUAGUUCUUGGGUACAUUUUGAACUAUACACCACUGUACAAGCUAUAAGACAGAAAUAGCUCAGAUCCCCACUCACAAUUCAACAAAAUAAUUUCCGCGUUUAAUGAUAAAAUAUGCUAAUAAUUGAAAUUCAUAUCUCGUGGAUGUAGUUGUGUGCUUAUUUGUAUGGAGUUUGUGUUGCGAACCAUAAAAAACAACGUUGAUUUAGAAUUAAAAUCUUGAAUUCACAAUUAUGAAUGCAAUUUCAAAUUUUCGAUUCUUAAUGUACAUAUUUACAAACUAAGAUUUACACUCAUAAUUAUAUUUUGUCUUCCACAUUUGUGAAAUAUUUAAAUAUCAUUUUCAAAAUACAAACUUUAACUACUUGGUAGAACGGUCGCUGCUAUAAAAUAUAUUUUCUGAUUUAUUUUGAAUAAAUUAUCCUUCCGAAUUUUGGUUUUCUUGAUCACACUGUAAUACAUAACAGCAUAUAGGUACACGCUCAUUUUUAUUUAACCAUAUAUGGUUAUACCAAUUUUCUGGUUUUUUCUCAAAAACUAUCAAUAUUGUUUUUUUAAAGAUUAUUUCUUUGCGAAAUUUUAACCAUUUUGGCAGUUCUCGUGUAUUAACCACAAAAUGGUUGAAACAUUUCUUCGCCAUUUUGGAUUUAACCGUGGAGCAAACCGAACGCGUUUAUUAAAAUUUGUAUUUUUUUCGCACGAAUAAAAUGUUUCAUAGUAGUAUAGUAAAUCUGUUCCUGCGAUUCGGAUGAAGCUGGGGCUGGUCGGUCGGCGUCUCUGCUGGAAUUGCGGUCGAUAUCGCUGUCUCAGGAAACUCCCGGUUCAUUCAGUACUAGAAGCAAAAAACUUGGAUUGCCUGUCAAAAUUAUUUUGCCAAUUUUUUGGUAAAUUUUGGCUAUAUCCGUCGGUGAAAAUCAGUCAAAAAUGGGAAAUAAGCCACUCCGAAAAGCUCCGGUCGGAAGAAAUCAGCAUCAUGGGAAUGGCACAGCAAAUGGUCCACAUCAAGCGGGAAGUGAACAAAACUGCCUGUAAGUCGCUGUCCGUGAAUCGGAAAACAGAACUCUGAUCAAUCAUGGUCGGCUGAUUCUGGGUUCCGGCACCGGGGCAAGUAUAUCGCUCAGAAGGGAUAAUGCACAUGUUAUCCAAGCUGGGAUUGUCGUCAACAUCGUCAACAGCAUAAUGAAAGAGGAACAGGAACAAGCUAAAGUUCGCAAGUUAGUCGAACUACAACAAAUAACUUUAUUGGUGACGCCAUCUGUUCCGCCUAUGCCUUCUGCAGAAAUGUUAGCUAGCGGUGGCUCCAGUCCAUCGCAUGAAGUUCAGGAAUUUUUAUCGCUCAAAGAAAACGACUGUCUUAAUGAGCACUAUGAUUCCGACAAUAUCCUUUUGGAAGAUACCGAUGAGAUUGCUGGUGAUGAUGACGAGUUGAAUGAUCUGGAAAACGAAAUCAUCGACGACGAAGAAACACGGUAAAAUUUCAAAAACAUAGACGACGAUGACAAUGAAUCUCCUAGCAGUAGAACCAUUGAAUGGCCGAAGGUUCCCGGAGUGCCGCUUCCUCCGUUGAAAGAUCUUCCACAGCCUUCCAUGCUUCCCAGCAUUGCUGUUGUACAAUCGAACAAACAGAUGGACGAACUAACUCAAAAAAUGGAUCGGCUGUUAGACGUAGCAGAAUUCCUCGACAAAUAACUGAACUGCGUUCGCAAGUGUCCGAUCUACAAAAAAUACGUACAGAUAAUUCGAAGUUACUCAAUGAUACUCUACGGGAGAUCGAAUCCAACAUUAUCGAGCAGACCAGUUCGGAGAAGCGCACUUUGUCCGAUAUUCAUAGUGAGAAAAUCGGAACUAUGUACAGCAAACAUUUCAGCAGCUUAAACUUUACUAUCAUGAAUUCACUAGAACCGAGAUUGACGCUCCAGAUUGUCAACCGAAUCGGGAGCAGUUGCAGCAAAAAUUCGAUUGUGCCCUCCAAGAGGGUGUACAAAAACUAUGCGUAAUCAGGUAACUAUUGAUGCUAUCGGUAAUUCCGUCUAUAAGAGUGUUCGAAAAGCAAUGGAAACAUCAUUUCAUGAAGCGUUACGAAACAUCAUUUUACCGAAUUAUGAGUGAUGCUCACAAGAACUGUUUUGGCAGCUCAAUAAAGAAUUUUCAGCAGGGUUAAAAGAAUACCUCGAUAAAACGGAAACGUAUUUAUCAUGCAGAAAACUGAACGAAGAGUUUGAAGCCGCGCUAAAAAAAACCGUUCAAUAAACUGGGCAGAACUUAACUGUCAAUGAUCUAUUCCAACCCGCCAAUGUUGCAGCCUAGCGUAAAGAUCUAAGCAAUGAUUCGAAUGAUUUCCAAGGCAAUUAGCUUAAAAUGAUUUGGGAAAACGUAAGGGCGGAAAUCGAUAAGGGUUUGGAGGCCCAAGCCUCUUCUCUAGAGGACUCAGUAUUGUCAGCGGUGCGGUCGCAAGCACAAACUCCAGCGCCCGCUUUUUUGGGUCAUCCCGAACACAUCCGGCAACUGCUAGCCACAGGGCGCAUAAACGAUGCAUUCGUUAUAGCUCUUCAGUCCAACGAUUUGAAACUAUAGUGUGAUUCACAAUAAAGCACGCCAAUUACAAACAGGUGUUCAAUCCAUGUGCUCUAGAACAACGGAUACUGCUGUCACUGAUUCAGCAGAUUGCAGCCGACAUGUCCAAUAUUAACGACCUUAAGCACAGGUUUCUCUCUGACGCCAUCGUUAAUCUGACCUUCUUCGACCACAUUAUGAAUGAACACAUUCAUAAGGUCCUGCAGGAGGUAGCUCGUAACAUACAGGCAUUUUUGUCAAUGAAUCCCGAACACGUACUUGCUACCAGACUUAAGUUAUUAAUGAUUGCCAUCCAAGGCUGUAAAUAUGCCUGAUCUUUGUGGAGGCAACACCAGUAAAAGGUUCGCGAGGACCUGGUAAUGUUGAGCCGGCAGUUUGAAGAAAAAUAAAUAAGCUGCUUUUAAACCCGCAUCUUUUUUCUUUUUCCAGUUGAAAACAUCCCAAUUCUAGUAUUUUAAAGAAAAAAAAUUACCUGUUUUCCUUCCAUUCUGCGAUAUGGUUUAAAAUAAACCGUUUUUUCAACUUCUCCGCAAUAAUUUCUUGCGGUUAAAAAGUAACCAUAUUUCCACUUCUCAAAAGAAGUCAAAAAAUGAUUUCUAUGGAAGCAGUCAAAAAAUCCCUUAACGCGGAAGGGUGUGAAAAUGGUUACUUUUUAACGAUAAUUGGUUAAAGAAUUUCGAGCGUGUUGGCGUUGUGUUGACUGGCUUCAGGCUGGCAGCCUCCAUUUAUUUCAUUUCGAAUUGGCGCUGAAAGUUGUCUACAUUCUAUUCCUGUAAAAAACGGUGAAAUAGAUUCAAAAAGAAAAGUGUCAGUGCGUGAAAAGUCGAUUGUUGGUGCCUUAACGAUUGUUGCUGCGUAUAAGGUGUAUGUACAACAUGAACACUCUACGCGGUUAUUUGAAAAAGGCAGUAUCUGAAGCUGAGCCGUCUUUUGUAAAAAUAGACGACAAUAAAACUCAGACUGGGCCAGAAAACGGUCAAAAGAAACAGGAUGUAAAUAAACGUAAGAAACGGCGUAGUCGAGCUGCCAAUAGCUCUCUGGAUGACAGCAAAACAUUAAAUCAAGAUUUGAAAACAACAAAAACACCUAAAAAGAAAAAAAGAAAUGUUUCAAUUGAUUCGAUCCCGGAUGAGUUUUGGGAAAUAACUUUUACGCAAGAACAAACACAAUGAAUAUCGUUCUUAUCAAUUAAAAUUCGCUUAAUUUUAAUCAAAAUCAAUGUACCCGAACGACCCGGGUGGUUAAAAGGUCUCUUAUAAAUAAUAAUAAUAAUGUUAAGAGUAAAGAUGCGAGUUGAGAAUAAAUUAUAAUAAAAAUGACAAUGAUUAUACAAAUCAAUAUUUUUACCCCACUUUUAAAGAAAAUAUUCCAAUUAAAAAUUCGUAUUCAUAUUCAGACAACAAUGUACACACGAAGGCUCUACAUUACGGCUUUUCGAUCCAUUGCUUCCUAAAUAUGCAAAUUUAAGGCGAGA